UCAGACGAUGCGUCAUGCAUAUCAAUAAGCGGAGGAAAAGAAACUAACAAGGAUUCCCUUAGUAACGGCGAGUGAAGCGGGAAGAGCUCAAAUUUGAAAUCUUAAAGGGUUUCCCUUUACGAAUUGUAGUUUAAAGAAGUGUUUUCUGUUAGAGUUUCGGUAAAAGUUCUUUGGAAUAGGACAUCAUAGAGGGUGAGAAUCCCGUAUUUGACCGUUAUUUCUAGCUUUGUGAUACACUUUCAAAGAGUCCGGAUUGUUUGGGAAUGCAGUCCAAAAUGGGUGGUAAAUUUCAUCUAAAGCUAAAUAUUGGCGAGAGACCGAUAGCGAACAAGUACCGUGAGGGAAAGAUGAAAAGAACUUUGAAAAGAGAGUUAAACAGUACGUGAAAUUGUCAAAAGGGAAGCGUUUGACACCAGUGUUGUUUUCUCGAAAAUCAAUUAAAAAAGGCAGGAUUUUGUGUUGUAUUGACUUUAUCAGCUUUCUGCACUCUUUUCUUGUCUUUUUUUAAUGCACUUUUCGUUUAACAAGUCAACAUCAAUUUCUUUUGUUGUAAAAGGGUCAUUGGAAGGUGGCUUUCUUUUCGGAGAAAGUGUUUAUAGCCUUUGGCCUCUGCAAUCGGAGAGAUUGAGGUCUGCAGCGUAGAUCCUUCGGGGUUAGAUACAUUUGUGCUAAGUUAUAGCCUUUCAUAGACAACUUGUUGACUAUGAUCAGUCAUGUAGCUUACUCGCUUAUGCUAUUUUACCUACGCUUAGGAUGUUGAUCUACAGAGCGAGAGU
rnacentral:rRNA from 1 species